AUUGAACGCUGGCGGCAUGCCUUACACAUGCAAGUCGAACGGCAGCACGGGAGCAAUCCUGGUGGCGAGUGGCGAACGGGUGAGUAAUAUAUCGGAACGUGCCCGGUCGUGGGGAUAACGUAGCGAAAGCUACGCUAAUACCGCAUACGAUCUACGGAUGAAAGCGGGGGAUCGCAAGACCUCGCGCGAUUGGAGCGGCCGAUAUCAGAUUAGGUAGUUGGUGAGGUAAAGGCUCACCAAGCCGACGAUCUGUAGCUGGUCUGAGAGGACGACCAGCCACACUGGGACUGAGACACGGCCCAGACUCCUACGGGAGGCAGCAGUGGGGAAUUUGGACAAUGGGCGACAAGCCUGAUCCAGCAAUGCCGCGUGCAGGA
rnacentral:rRNA from 1 species